UACGGGGGGGGCAGGCGUUGUUCGGAAUUACUGGGCGUAAAGGGCUCGUAGGCGGCCAACUAAGUCAGACGUGAAAUCCCUCGGCUUAACCGGGGAACUGCGUCUGAUACUGGAUGGCUUGAGUUUGGGAGAGGGAUGCGGAAUUCCAGGUGUAGCGGUGAAAUGCGUAGAUAUCCGGAGGAACACCGGUGGCGAAGGCGGCUUCCUGGACCGACACUGACGCUGAGGCGCGAAAGCUAGGGGAGCAAACGGG
rnacentral:rRNA from 1 species